UACGAAGGGGGCUAGCGUUACUCGGAUUGACUGGGCGUAAAAGGCGCGUAGGCGGUUUGUACAGUCAGACGUGAAAUUCCUGGGCUCAACCUGGGGGCUGCGUUUGAUACGUGCGGACUUGAGUUCGGAAGAGGGUCGUGGAAUUCCCAGUGUAGAGGUGAAAUUCGUAGAUAUUGGGAAGAACACCGGUGGCGAAGGCGGCGACCUGGUCCGAUACUGACGCUGAGGCGCGAAAGCGUGGGGAGCAAACAGG
rnacentral:rRNA from 1 species